CCUACGGGAGGCAGCAGUGAGGAAUAUUGGUCAAUGGACGAGAGUCUGAACCAGCCAAGUAGCGUGAAGGAUGACUGCCCUAUGGGUUGUAAACUUCUUUUAUAUGGGAAUAAAAUGUUCCACGUGUGGGAUUUUGUAUGUACCAUAUGAAUAAGGAUCGGCUAACUCCGUGCCAGCCGCCGCGGUAAUACGGAGGAUCCGAGCGUUAUCCGGAUUUAUUGGGUUUAAAGGGAGCGUAGGUGGAUUGUUAAGUCAGUUGUGAAAGUUUGCGGCUCAACCGUAAAAUUGCAGUUGAAACUGGCAGUCUUGAGUACAGUAGAGGUGGGCGGAAUGCGUGGUGUAGCGGUGAAAUGCUUAGAUAUCACGAAGAACUCCGAUUGCGAAGGCAGCUCACUGGACUGCAACUGACACUGAGGCUCGAAAGUGUGGGUAUCAAACAGGAUUAGAUACCCCGGUAGUC
rnacentral:rRNA from 1 species